rnacentral:rRNA from 1 species
UACGUAGGGGGCUAGCGUUGUCCGGAAUCAUUGGGCGUAAAGCGCGUGUAGGCGGUCCGGUAAGUCCGCUGUGAAAGUCGGGGGCUCAACCCUCGAAUGCCGGUGGAUACUGUCGGGCUAGAGUGCGGAAGAGGCGAGUGGAAUUCCUGGUGUAGCGGUGAAAUGCGCAGAUAUCAGGAGGAACACCAAUUGUGAAGGCAGCUCGCUGGGACGUAACUGACGCUGAGACGCGAAAGCGUGGGGAGCAAACAGG